GUGUCAGCAGCCGCGGUAAUACGGAGGGUGCAAGCGUUAUCCGGAUUCACUGGGUUUAAAGGGUGCGUAGGUGGGCAGGUAAGUCAGUGGUGAAAUCCUGUAGCUUAACUACAGAACUGCCAUUGAUACUAUCUGUCUUGAAUACCCUGGAGGUGAGCGGAAUAUGUCAUGUAGCGGUGAAAUGCUUAGAUAUGACAUAGAACACCCAUUGCGAAGGCAGCUCACUACGGGAAUAUUGACACUGAGGCACGAAAGCGUGGGGAUCAAACAGGAUUAGAUACCCUGGUAGUCCACGCCCUAAACGAUGAUCACUCGACAUCAGCGAUACACUGUUGGUGUCUGAGCAAAAGCAUUAAGUGAUCCACCUGGGAAGUACGAUCGCAAGAUUGAA
rnacentral:rRNA from 1 species